rnacentral:pre_miRNA from 1 species
AGCUCCCUUUGAUCCAAUACUUGGAAGGAGGGAGGUUGUAGUACAUCUGAUGGCUCAUGGAUACCUCUGAGUUGCGCAGAUUGAAUUUACUUUGGAGGAGCGUGCAGCUUAAGGGUUUGCAUGAUUCGAGAGAUGUGCUUGCCUUCUCUUUUCCUUUCUUGGAUUGAAGGGAGCUCC